ACGUGGGGCAUGGAAAAACUAUCUGCAAACUGAUAUAGAGAGAAGCUGCUCUUCCUCUACCUGGCAUCCUACCUACCCCUCCUUUCCCUUCCUUCUUCUCCGGCGAGAUCUAGAUUGGGCACGUUACAAGUGGUAUAAGAGGUCAGGCGACCUGGAGACGGCCUACCCCCGACCCCGCUACGCCACCAAGCAGGCUCUGAAGACGGCGGCCAUGGAGGAGCAGCUCGCCGCGCUCAUCAAGUCUGUCAACGAAGGACGGGCCGCCAACGACGCUUGGUUGGAUGCGAUCCAGACCUCCCUCGAGCUCUGGCGCCCGGCGGUGACGAACCUUCAGAAUCAAGUCGACGAGCUCCGCACGCAGGUGGGGCGCAUCGCCCUCCACCCCGCCCUGGCAGAUCCGACGAGGACUGCGGUGGAUCUCACCGGAACCGCGCCUGAUCCGGGACGAUCGGGUGUGGACCAGGUGGUGGGCACCGCGGCGGCAAUCUCACCAAGGGCUGACUCGAGACACCAAGGGCCAAGUGGCCACCGUGACAUCGCCGAAACCGGGGGCCUGGCACACGGGGUGGUCACCACCCUAGCGCCGCCUCCGGCCAACGGUACGUUCCCACCCAGGCAUCCAUCCCCUUCCUUCUGUAUGGCUGAUCUGAGUGGGAGGGAGAACCACUACGAGUCCUUUCAUCAGAGUUCGCAUGUGUAUUGGUCACUGCCCAAGCUUGAUUUUCCUCAAUUUGAUGGGGAUAAUCCACAAUUCUGGAAAAUGAAAUGUGAAAAAUACUUCGACGUCUAUGCUGUCCAACCAGAGUUAUGGGUUAGAGUAGCUACCUUGCAUUUUAAUGGCAACGCUGCUAGAUGGUUACAAUUACAUGAAGCUAAGAGUCAACGGUUCACUUGGGGAGAGUUGUGUGAGGCUCUCUACACCAAAUUUGGGAGAGAGCAAUACCAGUCUCAUAUUAGACAGUUCAAUACCCUUCGUCAGAGUGGGUCAGUUGGUGAUUACAUGAAUAGGUUUGAUGAACUUAUCAUAACAUUUUAGCUCAUAAUUCGGGGUUUGAUUCUGUCUACUUUACAACCCAGUUUUUGGAAGGGCUUAAACCUGAAAUCCGAGCAAGUGUUAUGUUGCACCAACCCCAUGACUUGGACUCUGCGUUUUCCUUGGCAUCUAUGCAGGAGGAGCUGCUGGAGGCGCUACCUCCCCGCGAAUACCGCCGCCAAGACCAGCGUGGUGUGACUCCUCGUCUGCUCUUGGCGAUGGGUGCACCAGCGCGUCAAAUGUUGCCGGGGCCGUCGGUGGGAACGGAGGACCGACGCGGCCUGGACGCGGCGCGAGCUCCAGAGCGCCGGGAUCGAGACCAAGAUUGCGGCGACGACCGCGUGGCGGCUUUGCGCAACUACCGCCGAGCCCGUGGGUUAUGCUUCAAGUGCGGCGAGCGGUGGGGGCAAGGCCAACAAUGUGGCCCUACCGUCCAGCUUCACGUGGUCGAGGAGUUGUUGGACCUGCUUCAGACCAAUCCAAUGGAGCCAGUGGGUCUCCAGCAUGACUCGGAUGAUGAAGUCUUGAUGUCCAUCUAUAAACUGGCAACCACAGGAUAGACGACUCCGCGCACUGUCAGAUUGGUCGGGCGCAUUGGUGAUCAUGAAGUACUGAUCCUGGUCGACUCAGGGAGUUCCCACAGUUUCAUUAGUGAGUCUGUCGCAUCUAAAAUUCAGCAUCAAGUUCAGUGAACAACACCAACAGUCAAGAUCGCUGACGGAGGGGCUCUCCAGUGUUCAGGUUAUGUCCCAAACUGCCGAUGGGCAUCUCAAGGGCACAAAUUCACGACAGACCUCCGAGUACUGUCACUGGGCUGUUAUGACAUGGUGGUCGGCAUGGACUGGCUUCGGCAGUGCGGGCCAAUGUGGGUUGACUGGACAACGAAGACUUUGAAAUUUAUGCAUGAAGGGCAGCAGGUUUCUCUUGUGGGAGUGUAGGCUCAACUCGAUUCCUUACAGCAAAUUUCUUUGGACCCGUUGUGCGCCUUGGAAGCAUCAAAUGCAGUGGCUCACAUCGUGGCCCUAACGCUAUCCCCAUCUGGCGCGACGAUUACGGAGAUACCGCCUGAGACUCAGCAAGUUUUGGACCAGUUUCAAAGCGUGUUUGACGAACCGAUGACACUUCCACCGCACAGAGAUUGGGAUCAUUUGAUUCCCCUGAUUCCGGGGGUUAAGCCUGUUAAUGUGCGUCCAUACAGAUACACGCCUAAGCAGAAAAACGAGAUUGAAGCUCAAGUUAAGGAACUGCUUAAGUCAGGACUGAUUGUGGAGAGUCUCAGCCCCUUUUCCUCGCCUAUUCUAUUAGUGAAGAAGAAAGAUCAGACAUGGCGACUAUUCGUGGAUUAUAGGCACCUCAACGCCGUGACCUUGAAGACUAACUACCCCUGCCAGUGAUCGACGAGUUACUUGACGAGUUGGCCGGCUCAUGCUGGUUCUCAAAGCUUGACUUGCGUGCCGGAUACCACCAAAUUUGUCUUAAGGAGGAGGAUGAGGCAAAAACUGCCUUCAAAACGCAUCAGGGACAUUACCAGUUCAGAGUGAUGCCAUACGGAGUCACGGGAGGUCCUACGACGUUCCAAGGUGGCAUGAACACAGUCUUGUCGCCGCUGUUACGCCAUGGUGUUCUUGUGUUUAUGCACGACAUUUUGAUGCAUUCCAAAGACCUUGUGGGGCAUAGAGAAUUGCUGCGACAAGUGUUGCAGUUGUUGUCUGAGAAUGAACUCAAGGUCAAGCUUUCCAAAUGCACAUUUGCUCAGCCUCAGAUUGAUUACUUGGGUCAUUGCAUCAGUGCGCAAGGAGUGGCCACGGACCAAAAAAAGGUUGCAGCUGUCAGAGACUGGCCAACACCUUCACCAGUACGUGAGUUGAGGGGCUUCUUGGGGUUAGCCGGGUACUACCGGAAGUUCGUCAGAAACUUUGGGGUUAUCAGUCGACCACUCACUGAUCUACUGAAAAAGAACACACUCUUUGUCUGGACACCCACAACGGAUGCAACUUUCUCCUCUCUGAAACAAGCCUUGAUUGAAGCGCCCGUGCUCACCUUACGGGACUUCGAGAAGGUAUUCGUGGUGGAAACGGAUGCUAGUGCCACCGGUGUGCGAGUCGUCCUUAUGCAAGACCAUCAUCCCUUGGCAUAUCUCAGUAAGCCGCUCUGCUCCAAGAAUUUGGGAUUAUCAGCUUAUGAGAAGGAAUGCUUAUCAGAUUCAGAAAACCCACUGAUUCCUAUGUGUUUGUAAGUUUGCACGACGGUGGCUGGAUCAUUGUCCUAUUACCCCGUUUGUUCUCUGAAUCUUCUUCGUUUCUAUCUCAGUGCAAAUCACCUGGCAGGAAGAUCCAUGAGCAUAUCUGACAGCCUGUGUUGGUUCGUGCAGUGACAAGUGGGAAGAAAAAUUAGGGACGUGAUUUGAUUGAUGGGAUUAAAGAUGGAUUCGCAUCCCACAUUUUCUCUGUUAUUUUAUACUAAUGUGGCCGGUAUGUAUUUGUGAGCACACUUGGCACAGAAACUUAACUGGUGGAUAGAGAGAACAUCUGUCUGACCUCCUGUGUUUUUUAUUUUUAUGCGGGGGAAAGAGAGAUAUAGUAUUGAUUAAUCAUCAGGAAUAUGGUUACAGUCAGCACGGAAAAGCCUUUGGAAUAGAAUCGAAUCCGUGGACCUGAAUGCAGUCAGCUGCGAUUGUGCUUUUCCAAUCUGCUACAGAAGUAAACAUGUGAAAAAUGAUGAGAAGAGGAUUACCAUGACUUGGUAGACCAUGAUUUGUGUAUGCGGGAUAGAAUUUUCAUCCUAGUCAUGCAAGGAACAAUGUCCAACAGUACGUAUUAGACGGGUCCUUGUUGGAUGCAAGCACUCUUAAAGAUCUGUGCAAAGCACUUCUAUAUCUACAUAUUCUUGUCCCAUCUCUUCAGUGUUCUUCUAACACCUCAUCUAAAUUAUGUGGGUGACUCCUCUCGAUCGUAUACUCAUCUCAUCGCGCGGUCUGGAUAUAAUUUAUUCACUUGAACAGGUCUCAGCACGGGGCGGGAGCUAGGAGUCAAGUGUGGAGUAUGACGCAGGGCCUCUCAAGUCUCGAACAAAACAUGACGACGACAGUUAACGUUUGCACGAUGGUGGCUGGAUCAUUGCUUGUAUUACCCCGUGCGUUGGCUGAAUCUUCUUCGUUUCUAUCUCCGUGCGAAUUGGUUGGCAGGAUGAUCCAUGAGCAUAUCUGAAGUGAUAUCAUAUCAGGUAGCUUCUAUCUGUUCGUGCAGUGACAAGUGGACAGAAAAAUUAGGGACGUGAUCUGAUUGAUGGGCUUGAAGAGAUGGAUUCGUAUCCUGCCUUUUGUGUGUUAUUUUAUAUUAUGUGGCCGGUAUGGAUUUGUAGCACACUUGGCAUAGAAACGUAACUGUAGAGAGCAGGAAUUAGAACAUAUGUCUUCUUUUCUUUGCAGGGAAAAGGGAGAUAUAUUGAUUAAUCAUCAGGAAUAUGAUUACAGCCAACAGCGACAAUCUGAUAUGUUUUGGAAUAGAACGGAACUAGAAGCAUACGCGCGCCUUGGUGUGCCGUUCUACUUUUCUACCAUUUGUUUGUUUGAUUGUUAAUUCACGAAUAGAU